rnacentral:tRNA from 1 species
GCCUAGCUGGCUCAGUUGGUAGAGCACGUGACUCUUGAUCUCAGGGUUGUGAGUUUGAGCCCCACGUUGGGAG